rnacentral:rRNA from 1 species
ACCCGCGGCCCGAGUGGUGCUCAUUAUUAUUGAGUCUAAAACGUCCGUAGCCGGUCGAGUAGAUUCCUGGGUAAAUCCAACCGCUCAACGGUUGGAAUUCCGGGGAGACCGCCCGACUAGGGACCGGGAGAGGCGCGAGGUACUCCUGGGGUAGGGGUAAAAUCCUGUAAUCCUGGGAGGACCACCAGUGGCGAAGGCGUCGCGCUAGAACGGAUCCGACGGUCAGGGACGAAGCCCAGGGGCGCAAACGGGA